UGUGAAAAGACAAUUAUAGAAUGGAUAUCCCUAUUUCAUCUUAAGAAAUGCUACUCACUUCAAUGCUAAGUUGAUUGUCAGUUUCAGAGAAGUUUUAGGAACUGCAGAUAUUUUUAACCUAACUUGAUUUGAAUGUGGCUGGUAAAAAGGCUACCAAAAAUCCAUGAGCCAUUUCUCUUCUUCCUUGCAGCUCCAUGAAAAGUAACCAGACUUGCUCCACAACCUGGCUAUUCCUCACCAAAGACCUGAGGUGGCUCUGGAGUUCAUGAUGUCCUUCUGAAAUUAACGACAUUUGUCCCCUUUAGGUACUGGAUGGCUGUUAUAACGUCUCCCUGGAGUGUUCUCCUCUCCAGCCUGAACAAGCGCAACUGUCUUGACCUGUCUUCACAGGAGAGGUGCUCCAGCCCCUGAUCAUCGUUGUGGCCCUUCUAUGGAUCCUCUCCAACAGGUAAAAUCUUAACAUGAUAUUUGAAAAAGUCCCAGAACCAUUUGUUUCAUGCAAAACGUUGGAAAGACUACAAGAAAUCACCAACAGGAUUUGUAAUUCAUUAGCUCAGAUGGAAUUCUGCAUCCUGAAUUCACUACAGGCCAGGAGGAGGAAACAACAGAAUGGAAAUAUCACAGUCCAGUGAGGUCUUGGCUGUGCCAUUGCUGUUCUUCUCCUCAAGCAGAGGAAGUCAGAAGGAUGCUCAUUACCUGUUCUCACAUUCUACAGCAAAGAUUCUUACCCUGGCUGACAUAGGCUGAAGACAUCAUGUUGCAAAGGGACAGUGAAAUGACUGUAGGUCCUCUGAUGAGAGAUACGUCCCUCCUGCUCAGGCACAGAACUCCUGCAGCACUGCCCUUUGUACUUCUACAGGAGCCCCUGCACAGACAGACGGAGCUUAGAUAAAGCUGAACACGGCACUUACGAAGCUGGCAGAAUUGGACUCCCUCUCGCAAUUGAUGCAAAUGGGCUCUGCCAGAACUGGACGUACGGGGCUCUCCAGGAACAUGUACCAGAACAUGGACUGGCUUUUGAAAGUGUUUAAUCUUAUUUCUCAGGUGCACUCUUGUUUACUAUGACUACGGAUGAACCAGGACCUCUCUCUCCUAUGACCCUAUUUGUGUCACAGAGGGUAAUGCAGAGGAUUUGUCACUGUCUCCUGCUGCUGUUUUAAAAAACUGUUUCUGGUCCCUACAGCAAGCAGUGUAGAUGUUUUGCAAAGGUGAAUGCCAUCAAUAGACUUUCUAAUCUGUCUUUUUUCAACACUUAAUUAUUACAUUCCCAUUCCCUCUAAUAUUUAAUUUACUUGGCUCCUCAGAGCUGGCAGUGACAGAUAGGCUCGAGGUAGCAGAGGUUAGGAGGACCACAUCUGGCUUGUCAUACCUGAAGUCGUCCCUGAAUUUUGUUGCCUCAGUGGACUAAUAAAGGACUAUAGCUAUUCGUGAUACUGCAAAGCCAGAUAGCUUGUGAAACUUGUUCCUUGUGCAAGAAUGCCAACCUUUUUUUGACUCUAGCCUCUGUUUUCAGUCCCUGGCUUUUGAACACUGCAUCUUCAAUCAACAGCUGUACUCAACAUCCACAACCAUAGGACAAGGUCAAGAAGCCACUGAUUUCACAGAUGUCAUUAUUUUUUACAUUUCUAUUCUACUGUCAUCACCAGUCCCCUUUCAUAUAAUUAACAGAAAUAGCCCAAGGUGACAACACUCAGUAAAAUCUCUCUCACUUAUGGCUUACACUGUAGGCCUCAUCUCUUCACAGGGGAGUCCAGGACAGUCCCUAGGCCACAACUACCACAUCUCUUCCUGUCAUGAAAAAGAUGGUGCCACCUCUGGCUAAUGCUGGGAAACAUGAGGAGACAACGUGUCAAGAAUCUGAACCUGGCUCUACCAUAACACUAUGGCUGUAAAUAACUUUUACUGUAACAUAAUUCGGACAACAUCCCUCAUCAACAGUAGGACUGAUUCAAAGGCCAAGAGGAAGGACAUCCUCACAAUUAAGCAUGUGUCAGAUGAAAACUAAGUGGCAGAGGCGGUUUAAUGACCUACCACCACACCCUGCCUGAUGGCAACAUCAAGAAGUUGCUGUUGUUGGUAGUACUAAUGGAGGCCUUGUCUGAAUGACAAAAAUGUGCACCUGCACAAUAUGUCUCCAGCUGAGAUUUUUAAGUGUUGGGGAGCACCCUCAAGCAUUGAUAGUGACCCAGAGCCACAUGUGAUAAUAAUGUUUGUGAAGAGAUGAACGUAUCUGCUGGUUAUGCUGUUGACCAACAGUUGUCCAAUGUAGAGACCCUUCUGCUGGGCAAAGACAAGAAACAUUUCUACCAAGCAGAGGAGAGAGACAUCAGACUCCUGCUUCGAGAGAGACAGUGCUCUUGGAUGUUUCCAGUGAGCAAUUUCAGGUCAAUUUCUUAAUAGUUGUAUUUCAGAAUAUAGCCCAUAUCUCUUACACUACAAGCUUUCUAGAGUCUGCAAUUUUCCCUGUAUUCAAAAAAGACAAAUUAUUUUACUUCGCAGUUGCAAAAAGAGAAUUAAACCAGCUUGGUUUUGCAACUGAAAUGACUUUACUGGUCUUAUAGCUGAUCUUAAAGCUUCUCAAAAUCAUUGCUUGUGCUGUUUGCACACCUUAUGUUUUGAGGCUUACCUCAGAUGGAUAAACAUGUAGAGUUGCAGGCAGAUAACACGAGUAAAAGGAUAAGCAGAGACAUGCAAGCCUUUGAGUAAGACUGAGACCAGGUCUGCAGGUCAGUUCCUCCAAGCUAUAAAGGAAAAUCUUGAUUUCAAUUUAGACAAAAUGUGGCUCUAGGCCUGAUGGAUAUUAACAACAAGGUUGCAAUGGUGUAAGUGGUGCUUGUAGGUCUGACCACCAAUAGAAAGAACCACAAGUUUCACAUCUACUGAGCAUGCGUGGAUCUAUUAGGCAGGUGCAAAAGUAAUUGCAGUUUUGGAUCAUUAAUUUUAAAUCAUUAUAACUAGGCUCAAACAGAUCUUUAUUAGUCAAAAUAGGAACCAUUACAAUCAACACAUUUUUGCCAAUGAGAAAUAAGUUUUUUUAUUCCUGUAGCUUAAAAAUCUGUGCUCUGGGAUAUGGCAAACUCUUGGGAAGCGUUUUCUGCAUCCUGUUGAUUGUGGAAGUGUUUUCCCUGCAAAAAAUUGUCGAGACACUUGAAGAACUGGUAGUCAGUUGAUGAGAGGUCAGGUGCAUAUGGUGGAUGAGGCAAAACUUUGUAGCCAAAUUCAUUCAACUUUGGAAGCGCUGGUUGUGUGAUGUACGGUCAGGCUUUGUCAUGGAGAAGAACUGGGCCUUUUCUGUUGACAGAUGCUGCCUGCAGGCAUUUCAGGUUUUGGUGCAUCUCAUUGAUUUGCUGAGCGUCCGUCUCAGAUGUAAUGGUUUCGCUGGGAUUCAGAAAGCUGUAGUGGAUCAGGCCAGCAGCAGAUCACUAAACAGUGACCAUGACAUUUUUUUGGUACAAAUUUGGCUUUGGGAACUGCUUUGGGGUUUCUUCUCGAUCCAACCACUGAACUAGUCAUCACCAGUUGUCGUAUAAAAUGCACUUUUCAUCACAUGUCACAAUGUGAUUGAGAAAUGGUUCACUGUUGUUCCGUAGAAGAAGAUGACACUUCAAAACUAUAUUUUUUCUUUUUUUAAAUUUCAGGCAGCUCAUGAGGCACUCCCUUAUUGAGCUUUUUCACCUUUCCAAUUUGCUUCAAAUGCUGCAUGACCAUAGAAUGGUUGACAUUGAGUUCUUUGGCCGCUUCUCGUGCAGUUGUAAGAGGAUCAGCUUAGAUGAUUGCUCUCCGUUGGUCAUUGUCAGCUUCCAUCGGCUGGCUACUACACUCCUCUUCAAGGCUCUCAUCUCCUUUGCAAAACUUAUUGAACCACCACUGCACUGUAUGUUUGUUAGCAGUUCCUGGGCCAAAUGUGUUGUUGAUGUUGCCAGUUGUCUCCGCUGCUUUAUGACACAUUUUGAACUCAAAUAAGAAAAUCGCUUGAAUUUGCUUUUUGUCUAACAUAAUUUCUGUAGUCUAAAAUAAAUACAAAAUAACAGCAUGUAAUAAGUCAGUAGCAAAAAAAACAUAAAGCAAGAAAAGCGCAUUAAAAUGAUGUAUAAGAUAAGCACAUUUAUUUAAGAAUGUUUCCAAUAUCAAAUGGCAAAUUUCAACAAUGCAAAAACCACAAUUCUUUUUGCACCAAGUCUCUAACCACCUGUUAGGGGGGACAGCCAUCAUUCAUUUCUAUCUAUUAUGCUGAGGUGUACAGAAGUCAUGACUCUGCUGUGGUAGUUACCGUGUAGAUGCAUAACAAGGAUUUUUGGCUACAGACUGAUAGUGGAUUAAAGAAGGUUCUUCCAUCAGGUUUUGAGACUAGUUCUUUUAAUGGCAGAAACAAUUUGCAUGUUACUUCACUUACCAGUCAAGUAACAGCGGCAGUCUCUAUUAGUAGCUUCAAUGAACGGAAAAUUGCUGCCAAAGGGUUUGUUUCUCCAUCAAGGAAAUUUUUUCUUUUAGAAGUUUCAUUGAAACCAUAUCCUAGAAACAAUGUGGACCAGACAUGGAGAUGAUAAACGCUUGCUGAAAACAAGUGUUUUCCAGCACUUUUAUAGAAACCAGCUUCACUUCUGAGAAUAUAAAAGUGGAGCAGAACAAACAGGGCAUGAGGCAAGAAUUCCUUACCGCUUAAUGCAGUGGUGCAGUGCUUUGUACAAACACACACGAAUGUCAAACCUGAGUUAAAGGUGCCCACAAUGCCUCUUCCUGAGAUCGCAGGUGGAAUGUGAAUGAUGCUUCAAGUCAGCCACACCAUAAAGAAAAGACAGUCUCCCCACUGCUCUUCUUAAUACAUGUGUUUGCUGCUAAUGCCACAAGAAAUUCAGAGAGAUCACCAUCCACACUGCACAGCUGAAUUGUGGUGUAGUCAGGAACACGGUGUUACUGACAGUAGAGAGACGCCCUGUGACUAUAACAAAAAUACAGAUCUAUCUGGCCAGCGAGAGGAGCCACCAUGUCUACUGGCUUUGACCUGUGCUCUUCCUCCACAAACAGCCGGCUUGCCUGGCGCUGCAGACAGCAUUUCAGGUCAGGGAUGCAGCACUUUGUCCUGAUGUGAGUGACUUAAAUCAGAGAGGUGCGUCUGGUAGGGGCGUUAUGAAACUACUGCACUACUAUGGAAGACUGGACUAUUUGAAUUACUGAAUAUCCUUAGUGGAGUAAAAUAUACAAAGCAAGCCAGAAUUUCUCCUUGUGACUUAGACCUUUCUUUCGUGGCUACUGCAGUUCCUGCAGAGCUUUCCUAGCCAUGAUAGUAAGAAAUAAGGUAACUGCGUAGCAUGAAGUCACAGCUGGGGAAAUGGUUCAUCCUGUAACACACCCUGACCUUCUGCCACUCUUGGGAAGAUGCUCUCCCGAUUUCAUUGAGUACAAACAAACAUUGGUCCUUGGAGAAUGAAUUGCAAAUGGGGAGGUCACUUGGUGGCUUUGUGCUCAUUCUUUACACCCAUUCUGUACAUCCAAACUGACACCAGUGGAUUAGGUUCCUUCUUGUACUUUCCUGAGAAGGCAGCAAAGCAUUUCUCACAAAGCAUUUCUCAGCCAGCUAAUAGUACCUGGGACAAAAAGGUCGGAAAGUCUCCUUGGUAGCACUUCCAAGCUCUGGGCCUCGAUUAACUUCCUGAAGCACACAUGGAAACUGUAUUAAUCCAUCAGUUUAAACACUCUAUAAGCAGACAGGUACUGCAGGUGUGCUGCAGGCCUCAGGCUUCCUCCAAGACCUUAGCUGGCCCUUGACUGCCAGGUCUGACAGCUGCAAGCGAUAUUUCCUUCUGACUGUGAGCAACCCAGGAAUUUUAGCCCAUCCUAUCUGUUGCUAAUUUGGUCACGGUGACUCACCCCCUUCCAUGAUUUCCAGGCUCACUGCUACAACAUUCUCCGGCUGUCAGCACAAUCCCCAGGGGUCUGCAGAAAGUUUUGAUUCUAAGUGUUUUGGUUGUAGAGGACGGUGGUUUAACUCCUCAUAUAUAACCAAAUCAACAAAUCUGACCCUAACUAGGAAAGCCUGUAGGGGGUGGGAACACCUCCAAAGUAAUCUCUUUCCUGCUUCUUCUGCCAAUAUGUACUUUAGGAAUGACGAAAUAAUACAUACUAUAGGCUCAAGAAAGUAGGACCUGGUUCUGUCCUGCAACUCAUCUGGGUUUGGCUCUGGCUUUCGUGUGCACUGACACAUUGCCUUCAGCACAAAAUUCAAGACCUUCUGUUUUCCAUAGUACUAAGAGCUUUCACUUAGCAGCACUUGGUUGCACUCAGCACUCUGCAGAUUUUUUUUUCCACAUUUGCAACCAACAGAAAGAACUAAAAAAAUACGUCAAUGCUACAAAGUUGUAGUGCUUUGUAGGUAAAUUUAGUGAUAGCAGGAUUUGCAGUUGUUAUCCCAAUGUUCCCAGCAGAUAACUCUUUUCUCUGCACACCCUUUGCUUAACUGAUUCACUCUGCUACAUGUAUUUUGGCUUAUAAGCAGUCCUGUGUAGGGGUGUGCAAAUGAGUCUACUUAAUUUCUAAGGAAAACCAGAAUCUAAUGAUAAAAGUAUGCUUCUUUGUGGCCAGGCUGAAGUUGCAGAGUUUACAACGCAAUGACCAGCUCAAAAAGUGAAGCCCACAGUGACUCAAAAGAGUCACGCACAUGUGAUGUUUUAACAAACAGCACAUCAGCAGUCUAACUCCCCUGAUGCAAGAGCCCUGCCUUCUCUCCCAUGUUCCUCUGAGAACAGUUUUGCAAAGCACAACUUUACUCUCCCCUCUCCGUGCACCACGUGCUGAUGUCUCUCCCACCCAGCCCUUACGCACUCAUGCCCGUGUGUAGGUGACCUCCACUUAGUGACAGCAGGACCCAGAGUUUUGGCAAGACAGGCUAGGUUUGCCGUGUCUCAGGGCAGGGCUGUGAAUUUUGAAGCACAUCCAACUGACUCAGCAGCCCAGUUGAAUCCUGAAGAACGAUCUUUAAAUAUGCACAUUUUGGAUCUGGGCCUCACCCAGGCUAUUCUGGCUAGUGCAGAUAUGCUAAAUCAACUUGGUUAAUGCAAACCUGAAGCAGGUCCACUGAGAUCCUCACCUGGCUUUGAAGCAGCAUCAUCUGCUCACCCUACUGUUCCUGUAAAGCUUGUUAUGAUAAACAGCAUAGCUACACAGAGGAAUACCAUCAGUCCUCUUCUAUCUACAGCUCAUUGGACUUUUGGAGACCCAAACACUUCUACCUGCAAAGUCCCAGUGGCUUGACUGUAACUAAGUACCUCGGGCAUUGUUAAAACUCAUUUUCUUCCUCUUUUCUACCCACUUCCUUGUUUUGCAAGUCAGACAAAGACUGAAAGGAUGGGAGUGAAUCUGUGUUUCUGUUUAAUGCUGUGACCCACUGGACAGAAUUUAACAAACGAAAAGACAAAUAGAAAUAAAUUUUAAUAUUCUACAUAGUGCUUUAAGGCCACCUUCAAAGAAGACGCUGCACUGCUACAUCUCUUCUGGCCAAAGGAGAGGUUUCAGCCAGCAGCACACUUGAUUUGUUUGGAGUUACGACUUGGGUAUUACUCCUCUGUUUCAUUAGCAAAGCUGGAACAGUGAUGGGAUUGAAAUCGAGGUGACUGUUUUAAACAAUGGAAUGGAAUACAAAGGUUGCAAUGCACUAACAGGUGACUUCUCCUUGGAGUGGGCCACGCACCCAGCACAGGUUUAGACCCCAGGGCUGGCUCCAGCACAGCCAGCUCUGACAGCUUCACCGCCGCUCUCUCUAGAAACCUGACCAUUUAGGAGAUGGUGCUCUGACUCCUUUCUAAGCCGCUUUGCACUGUCAGUCUUUUGACACUUGGGAGUUGCUAAACCCCUAUAGUUUCAUAACUGUUUCUCAAUCUCCUGAAUAACAAGGAUCCCAAAACCUGUGGCUGUCUCCAGUUUACAUCCUCUUAAGGCAAGAAGAAUCACAUAGAUCCAGCUCCACCUAAGGUCACCUCUGGAUGCCCUUCUUGUACCAUCCUCAAAACCAUUUGCACAUAGCCACUGAUCUCUUGUGCCUUUCCAAACUCACCAGUCAGGUCAGAAGCAAAACUUCCACAGAGAUUAAAACCAGUAAAACCUCAUACAAAGAGCAUGUGAAGCACUUUCCCAUCCUAUGGAUGCUGCUGCAUGCCAGAGAGAAAAGACUUGGAAAAAUGGUUUGCACCAAAUUGUUUGCUUCCUCCCUAUCUUCUUCAGAAAAUUUCUCCAGAAUUUGAGUCCAGGUGUCUGUAAUGUAACAUUUUUAAACUCAAGAUCAUCUGUAAUGUACCUUGGCCUUGAGCAACUGUGCUGCAAGCUUCAGUUUGUCUGCAUUAUGGAUUUUGAGGACAAAAUGAACGCUGGGGCUAAUCUGAGUUAUCCUCAAAAUGAUGUUUCAGAAGGUCUGCUCUGAAGCUGCAAGAAGCACAAUGAAGAGCCUCCUAAUGGUUAGUAUCCAGCUCCACUUAUUUCAAUGGCAGCAGCUGAGCUUAGCAUGUUCCUUGCACAAACUGUACAUAAUUUACAUUUAUGGCUAAACUUCUUUGUUCUUGCAAAGACUUGGCAUUUCCUCCGUUUCUGGAGUGAGUCAGGCAGGAUCAGUGCAUUUUAAACACAGUUCUAAAAAAGUGGAAUAAAGCUCUGCUCCUAGUUACAUUCACAAAACAAAACAGGAAAUCAAUAGAAGUGAAGCAACUGAAGUGAUGUCCGCUUGUAUCACUUUGCUAGCCAUUUUUGGGUCAAAAUUGUCAUUUAGGACAACCUUUUGGUUUGCUUUGUUUUUCAGUGGCAUAUGAUUUAUAGGAAAGCAAUCCAAGACUAUCCUAUGACUGUGAUUCACUUUCCUGAACCUAUUGCCAUGAAAACUGUAAACGAUGCAAUAGGCUGUGACUGCCAAAGAUCCGUCAUAGUAUCUGCUAAGUAAUUUGUACACCCAGGGCUGCAUUCUACAGUAAAUGGAAGUAGAGAAUUGUCAGGAACAUGCUGUUGGGAGUAAAAAAGAAAAAAGAAAAAAAGGAAAAAAAAAAAAGAGAAAAAAACAAGAGAAAAAAACACACACCCCCUCCCCGAAACCUCAAACCAAAACCAAACCAAACCAAAACAAACAAAAAAAGCCAAAGAAAAAUACUGUUACAUCAAUGUUGGUUAGGUGAAUCAUGCAUCUUGAGCACACAUAAAGCAUUUGAGGAGGCAGGCCGGGGAGGAGCUACCUGGUAUCUCAAAAUCUUGCCACUCCACCACAAGCAGCACCCUGGUGAAUUAAAUCCCACACAGACACCACUGACAGCCCUGCAUGGGAAAAGCACCUCACAGGAGCCCCUGGUCUCACAGGACUUGUGAUACCAAGUCCCUCUCCACUGCAGUUGCACAAACUGAGUGAAGGUGACUCCGAGUUUGAUGCCUGAGGAACAGCCCUGAAGAAACCAGCUAGAAACCCAGAAAGUUUCACCUCCACGGCUUAGAGGGUGAAGUGUGGUGGUGGCCAUGAAAUAACACAGGCAAAUCCGGGCUCCUCGCUGAGCAACUUCAAGCAGCAGUGGGAGACACAGAAUUUGGUUCAUCAGAGGCAGAAUAUCAGAGCAGAGACACGUCAGGGUAGGACCGCUCAUCAACUACACUUCUCACUAAGGACUAGACUUCUAAAAAAUAUUUAACAAAGGAGCCCAGCGAUGCCCAGGGCAAGAUUUAAUAAAACAAGGGUAAAAUAUGCAAAGAAAGAGAGUGGGAAAAGGCAACUGGCAUUUUAGAGAAGAGUCUGCUUAAUUGCUUUGCAGCACACACGCAGAGAGGAGGCGCUGAGCAGCGCUGCCUGCAUGGAGUGCUGUGCAGAGAUUGCGCAGCCACCUGUGAGGGACACUGGGGGUUCAAACAAGCAGCAGCAACAGCAGCAGCAGCACAAGUCCUCGUGUGACAAGGGGAGGUGACUGUCAACGCAAAGGACCAUUACCCAGCACGGGCUCUAAGGCAGCGUUCUCCCCUCUGCAGCACAGCAUCAUCUGGAGGAUUCCCAAUGCCAGUCUUGCCUCUGCUGUGGAAAAAACUACGUAGAAAACUGCUUUGGCUUGCCGGUUGUGAAUGAAUGCAAAUCCCUCUGCUGCAGCGGGACCACCUCUGCAGUAAACAGAUAAAUAUUCUUGCAGCAUACUGAGAAAUCCUCCUGAAGUGAAACAGGAGGUUCCCAGAACUUCAGAAGCCAGGCACUGCCUCUCCAUGAUUGCAACCAUAUGGAAAAGGGAAGUUUUGGUGUUUUUCAGGUAUAGAAUAUUAAUGACAAGGAUGCAACAAGCAACAGUUUAUUUGUAGAAAAAUUGUUUAAAAUUUUACUACAUUGUAAGAUUAAGGAAAAAAAUAGUAUUAAUAUAUGUACAUACAAUAUAUAUAAACAAACACACAUCGCACCAUUAAAAUUACAUGCUUUUUUUUUUUUUUUAAA